rnacentral:rRNA from 1 species
UACGAAGGGGGCUAGCGUUGCUCGGAAUCACUGGGCGUAAAGGGUGCGUAGGCGGGUCUUUAAGUCAGGGGUGAAAUCCUGGAGCUCAACUCCAGAACUGCCUUUGAUACUGAGGAUCUUGAGUUCGGGAGAGAUGAGUGGAACUGCGAGUGUAGAGGUGAAAUUCGUAGAUAUUCGCAAGAACACCAGUGGCGAAGGCGGCUCACUGGCCCGAUACUGACGCUGAGGCACGAAAGCGUGGGGAGCAAACAGG